rnacentral:lncRNA from 1 species
CUCACCGAAGGGCUGUGUUCUGCCAUACUUUCUUCGUUUCUGAGAUGGCAGGAGGUUGGUAGGCAGGCAGCUCUUCGUUUUAGAUUAUUCAGAAACCCUUGUAAAUAACCACAGGGCUUGGUGACUUAUCUCCUCCUGCUGUCUGGUUCCUCCUGGAUCCUUCAGGGCUCUGCUCGGCAGCAGGGCUGUGGCUCGCCUCUCCAAACCGUAGGGAGGCCGAGGGGAUGAUGCAGCAGGCGUGUCUAUACUCUGGAAGACUGCAGGGAGCUCAAGCUGUGGAAGGAGAAGCCCCACAGAGAGGCUGGCCACCCGCAGAGCAGUUUGGAAGUUACCAGGCUGAUGAUCUUAAGUUUUUGGACUCGAAGCAGUGCCAGGUAACUCACUGGAGAUGGCUGGAUGCAUUUUCACAUGCUUUGAAAUCUCCUUACGCCCCUCGAUGUGGUCUUAAGGCUGAGACGGACCUGUGCCUUCUGGUGGUGCAUUCCGGCUGUUACUGAACCCCAUUGGCAGCGCUGGCCCUGGGAUUAUUGCUCCGCUCGAUCUGAAAAAGCAGAAGCACCACACAGGCCGGAGGAUCUCUCCAUGGGCCGGCACUGCUGUGGGCCUGGGAGUCCUCACACACACGUCUCCGGGGAGUGUGUGGAUACCUGGAGCUGCAGGGCGAGGACUGCUGCGUGGGUCCGCGGACGUGAUGUGAUUGAAUUGCGGAGCCCUCGCGUGGAGAACCUGAUCUGGGCAUCUGUCAUUCCUGCAGUAGCCCUUCCUCCCCUGAGUGCAGGACAGCCUCACGGGCACUCAGACAGCUGACCUCUCUGCAGCCCAGAUGCAUCACAGCCUCACUGCAUGCAGGUUCAACAGCACACUCUGCUCUGCUUUGUUUUUCACUGUUUUUCCCUGAAGCUUAACCAUAAAGAGGCUGAGCACAUUUUUUUUUUGCACUGAUGGCUUUAGAUAAUUAUGUACGGGGGACAGAAAUGCCUGCAGCAAAGUGUGGUCUGAGUCAGCCAGGCUUAUCUAUAGCUGAGCGGAGCAUGUGUUUACAUUUUUUAAAGUGAAAAUCCAUAUACUUGGUCAGUGACUCUAAUAAGAGACUGGAGAAAUGAAUGGACCCUCACAGCUGAUUGGCACCUCACACAUUGCUCUCUUGGCAGCAGUUCCUGUGCCUUUGUGUGUUCCUUCUUCCAGCUAUCGAACUCUUGACACCUGCCGACGUCUUCACACAUCUUAAAGCGCCCACAAUUCACCAUUUCUGACCCCUUUACACAAGUGGGACACAACACCUGAUGCAGAAAGGAACAUGCACAAACACCUCUGCAUCUGGCAGCCCUGUUCUUUGAGCUUCAGAGCCUUGUGCAUGUGGGGUUUUCUGGCACAAAAAUCAGUAAAAAUUAUAUUUUGUGGGUGACAAUAGAAGUGCUCAUUUUAACAUGCUGUGACUGCAGCCAUGCUGUUGGUGUGAGCUUGUUAAUGGUUUCCAAGACCUUCGUUUCUGCAGAAGGCUGAGAGAACUUAACUGCUCGCCAUGUUCAGUUCAGGUGCUGGGAAGUAAAAAACGACAUUCUGUAUAUGAACAUGCCUCUGUAUGAUGUUUAUAUUAUAAUAUUGCAAUAAUAUUGCUCCAGACGGCAAUGGGUAUCAAUAGCUCUAUUCUAGACCAGGUACCAGACACAGGUGUUGAAGGUUUUCCAAGGCUCUACAGGACCCAGGCUGUUCGAGAUCUCCUGGACCCCAGGCUCCAGCUUCAGUGUAUAGCAGGAGUGUUGCUCAAAUGCAGAGUCACCUGUCAUUCUGGCCUCGCUAUCCCAGAGUCCUGCAGGACCCCCUCCUGCCCUUGCUGAUGUUCAUGGACUGGGCACCUCUCUGAUCCGGCUUUGCCACCUACUGGAGCUUUUCCAGCAUUCCCUCCAAUUCCCUUUUUGUUUUGUUGUUGCAGAGUCGUUGAUAGACGUGCCUAGAGGUCAAGGUUACUACUGAGUGGCUGAACUGAGUUUGUAAUCAUAAUAAUGGUGGUGAUGACAAAAAUAAUAUUUUUUGUCAUCCUUGGUUCUGCAGUGUCAGUUCUUUCUGGGAAAUUGAGCUCAAGGUGACAUCAACUCCGUGCACUACAGCAUCUGUGGGUCAUUUAACAGAACUGCGAGCUGCAAGAGCUCAGGGCUUCAGAAGUAAACCACUGGGUAACACAAAACUAGAUUUACUCAAGUAUUACAACUCUUUACUUUCCCCUGCAUGGGGCUGUUGAUGCAGGUGAUAGCAGAGGGAAGGUGGCUGUAGCCCAAGCUGUUAUAAAAUCCCCUGACUCUACAGGGCAUCAUAACAGAUGGAAUCAUGAUUUGUGAUUGCAGUGAACUCCUGUCUGUAGAACAAAUAAAAACAGCACAGCAGGUGUCAGAAGAGUCUUCUUGAGAUAAACCAUCCAUUUUGGGUGUGAAGGUUAUUAUUGGGACUGUAGUUCUGGUGGUUAAUAAGACUGUGAGUGUCCUGGGAGCGCUCUCUGUACAGCGAGCGGUCACGAUGGCCGGCCUCUGAGUGCACGUUGGGCUGGUCGUAUCUGCACCACAGCGGACAGUCAUUGUCUUCACGGGAGCAUGGAGAAUGGAGCAGCUCCUGAGAGGUAUGCAGAGACCCAGGGUGCCUGUGGGAGUAGAGCGAAGGUUUGGGACUGAGCAGGGCUACAACGAGCCCUCGUGACCUGAGGUUUAAGGCUGAAGGUUCCUGAAGUGGUCGCCGGUCCAGGGUCCAGCCAGCCGAUUCCAGUCCUCCAGGCCCCUCGAACCCGCAGCCACAGCAGCUCUGCGACCUGAAAAUCAAACCGGAACAAACCAAGAACAGGAAGACGGCCCUCUGCCCUUCUCCGCUGACACUCCACGCCAGCAGAGGACGAGCUCCAGGCCGCUGGCGGUGUCGGCCCUGACAGACAGACGAUAGCCGGCCGAGGGCAUCAGUGCAGCCCCUCAGGAGACGAUGUUCGUGUUCACGCUCCGGCCCGCAGUGCCGCUCAGCUCAGCGCCAGUGUGCACAGCCCACAGCACUCUGCUGCUCUUGAAUCACCCGCCAGGAUGCCCAAAACCACAGGACAAAAUAGCAAAGCUCAUUAAAUGUUUCGGAUGCUCCAGUCCACAAUUAAAACAGAUCUGCCA